ACUCCUACGGGAGGCAGCAGUGGGGAAUAUUGCACAAUGGGCGCAAGCCUGAUGCAGCCAUGCCGCGUGUGUGAAGAAGGCCUUCGGGUUGUAAAGCACUUUCAGUCGUGAGGAAGGUAGUGUAGUUAAUAGCUGCAUUAUUUGACGUUAGCUGCAGAAGAAGCACCGGCUAACUCCGUGCCAGCAGCCGCGGUAAUACGGAGGGUGCGAGCGUUAAUCGGAAUUACUGGGCGUAAAGCGCAUGCAGGUGGUUUGUUAAGUCAGAUGUGAAAGCCCGGGGCUCAACCUCGGAAUAGCAUUUGAAACUGGCAGACUAGAGUACUGUAGAGGGGGUAGAAUUUCAGGUGUAGCGGUGAAAUGCGUAGAGAUCUGAAGGAAUACCGGUGGCGAAGGCGCCCCCGUGGACAGAUACUGACACUCAGAUGCGAAAGCGUGGGAGCAAACAGGAUUAGAUACCCCUGGUAGCGACUGA
rnacentral:rRNA from 1 species